rnacentral:snRNA from 1 species
AGGCUGAGGGCGAUCUGGCUGCGACGUCUGUCACCCCAUUGAUCACCAGGGUUGAUUUGGCUGAUCUGGCUGGCUAGGCGGGUAUCCCCUUCCUCCCUCAAUGCUCCACGUUUGUCCCUCCUGAAGCUGCGUGCUCAGUUGAAGAGGACGACCUUCCCCAUAGAGGAGGACUGGUCUUCAGUCAACGGUAUACAAGUAGCUGCGCUCCCCUGCUAGAAUCUCCAAACAAGCUCUCAAGGUCCAAAAGGCAAGCUGAAGCACAGAAAGACAAGCUCUUUCUGAUGCCCCUCAUCAUGCACUCA